rnacentral:tRNA from 1 species
AGCUCGUUGGUCUAGGGGUAUGAUUCUCGCUUAGGGUGCAAGAGGUCCUGGGUUCAAAUCCCAGACGAGCCC